CUUUUACAAUGAAGAGUUUGAUCCUGGCUCAGGAUGAACGCUAGCUACAGGCUUAACACAUGCAAGUCGAGGGGCAGCAUUUUAGUUUGCUUGCAAACUGAAGAUGGCGACCGGCGCACGGGUGAGUAACACGUAUCCAACCUGCCGAUAACUCCGGGAUAGCCUUUCGAAAGAAAGAUUAAUACCGGAUAGCAUACGAAUAUCGCAUGAUAUUUUUAUUAAAGAAUUUCGGUUAUCGAUGGGGAUGCGUUCCAUUAGUUUGUUGGCGGGGUAACGGCCCACCAAGACUACGAUGGAUAGGGGUUCUGAGAGGAAGGUCCCCCACAUUGGAACUGAGACACGGUCCAAACUCCUACGGGAGGCAGCAGUGAGGAAUAUUGGUCAAUGGGCGCGAGCCUGAACCAGCCAAGUAGCGUGAAGGAUGAAGGCUCUAUGGGUCGUAAACUUCUUUUAUAUGGGAAUAAAGUUUUCCACGUGUGGAAUUUUGUAUGUACCAUAUGAAUAAGGAUCGGCUAACUCCGUGCCAGCAGCCGCGGUAAUACGGAGGAUCCGAGCGUUAUCCGGAUUUAUUGGGUUUAAAGGGAGCGUAGGUGGAUUGUUAAGUCAGUUGUGAAAGUUUGCGGCUCAACCGUAAAAUUGCAGUUGAAACUGGCAGUCUUGAGUACAGUAGAGGUGGGCGGAAUUCGUGGUGUAGCGGUGAAAUGCUUAGAUAUCACGAAGAACUCCGAUUGCGAAGGCAGCUCACUAGACUGUCACUGACACUGAUGCUCGAAAGUGUGGGUAUCAAACAGGAUUAGAUACCCUGGUAGUCCACACAGUAAACGAUGAAUACUCGCUGUUUGCGAUAUACAGUAAGCGGCCAAGCGAAAGCAUUAAGUAUUCCACCUGGGGAGUACGCCGGCAACGGUGAAACUCAAAGGAAUUGACGGGGGCCCGCACAAGCGGAGGAACAUGUGGUUUAAUUCGAUGAUACGCGAGGAACCUUACCCGGGCUUAAAUUGCAACAGAAUAUAUUGGAAACAGUAUAGCCGUAAGGCUGUUGUGAAGGUGCUGCAUGGUUGUCGUCAGCUCGUGCCGUGAGGUGUCGGCUUAAGUGCCAUAACGAGCGCAACCCUUAUCUUUAGUUACUAACAGGUCAUGCUGAGGACUCUAGAGAGACUGCCGUCGUAAGAUGUGAGGAAGGUGGGGAUGACGUCAAAUCAGCACGGCCCUUACGUCCGGGGCUACACACGUGUUACAAUGGGGGGUACAGAAGGCGGCUACCUGGUGACAGGAUGCUAAUCCCAAAAACCUCUCUCAGUUCGGAUCGAAGUCUGCAACCCGACUUCGUGAAGCUGGAUUCGCUAGUAAUCGCGCAUCAGCCAUGGCGCGGUGAAUACGUUCCCGGGCCUUGUACACACCGCCCGUCAAGCCAUGAAAGCCGGGGGUACCUGAAGUACGUAACCGCAAGGAGCGUCCUAGGGUAAAACUGGUAAUUGGGGCUAAGUCGUAACAAGGUAGCCGUACCGGAAGGUGCGGCUGGAACACCUCCUUUCU
rnacentral:rRNA from 1 species